UAUAAUUAAACCUAGCCUCAUCUCCCUCAGAAACCUCCGCCUCACUCCAUCAUCCCCUCAUCCAUAUCCCGCCAUUAUUUUCUCCAAAAAAUCACUCAAUUUCUCCGAAUUUGAGAUCCAAAAAUAAAAAUUCAAGCUUUUUACCUUUUGUCCAAAUUUUCUUGAUUUGGUCCUCAAUCCGUGAUAAAACCCCCAUAAAUCUCCCAUUUUUUCAAUAAAGAGAGCCGUUUUAAUCUUGAGUUUGUCCUAUCUCAUAGAUUGGCUAGAUUUCGGGGCAAAUAACCUGUUCAUGACUCAAAUCCUCUGAGCCUUUGCCUCAUCCGAUCUUUGGCAUGUGGUGAGGAUUAUUGCAUGAAUCACUGGCCAUGGACAAGAGUCCGACCAGUGUUCAUGUUAUAAUUCUCGCCAUUGGCCGAGAUUUUUUUCGUUCGAGUUCGAAUAAAGAUCUUGUUGUUCUUCUCAAAGGCAUUAAAGUUUUGUUGAUUCCACCGUUUGCAGAUCUGACCACUAAUUGAUUAGAUUGGCAAGCUCUAAAGCUAAGGAAAGGAUUUAAAGUUGAUAGAAAAAGGGUUUGGAGCUGAAGAUUAAAUCAGACCGUGUAUUAGUUUAGUUUAUUAUUGCAAAUGAUUUUGUAUACAUUAGAAGGCACUAAUUAUCAAGUGUUGUAUUUGAAAUGGCCAAAAUUGUAAAUGUCAGAUUCUAGGUGAUUUUCUUUUAAGUUUCAAAGGCCCAUGAUUCCUUUUUUUUAAUAUGUAUUUGCUGUAUUUGGACAGUUACCACAGAUUUGCAUAUUUGCAUAAGGAAUUUGGAGUCAGUUUAUAUUGGGUUUA